rnacentral:rRNA from 1 species
CCUACGGGAGGCAGCAGUGAGGAAUAUUGGUCAAUGGACGAGAGUCUGAACCAGCCAAGUAGCGUGAAGGAUGACUGCCCUAUGGGUUGUAAACUUCUUUUAUAUGGGAGUAAAAUGUUCCACGUGUGGGAGUUUGUAUGUACCAUGUGAAUAAGGAUCGGCUAACUCCGUGCCAGCAGCCGGGGGAAUUCGGGGGAUCCGGGCGUUAAUCGGGUUUUUUGGGUUUAAAGGGAGCGUAGGUGGUGUGGUAAGUCAGUCGUGAAAGUUUGCGGCUCAACCGUAAAAUUGCAGUUGAAACUGGCAGUCUUGAGUACACGAGAGGUAGGCGGAAUGCGUGGUGUAGCGGUGAAAUGCUUAGAUAUCACGAAGAACUCCGAUUGCGAAGGCAGUUCACUGGACUGCAACUGACACUGAGGCUCGAAAGUGUGGGUAUCAAACAGGAUUAGAUACCCCUGUAGUC